CAUGCAUGUUGUAACUGAGAAACUAGUCUAUAACUCAAUUUCAAAAUGGACUAAAAACUGGUACGACGUAGCUCCCAAGUCUUGAAAAUUUACAAACAAAUGUGCACAAUUUGAAUAAGUGAGAAGUUUGAAGAAUCUGGAAGAUAACACAAAUUUAAUACUGUCUUGUAAAUUUUAACGAAUACCGUGUCUCCGAGCAGGGCCGCAAAUUACAUACAUGCAUAUAGACAGUUGCCUCCUAUUGCGGGCUCACUGACAAAAAAAAUGGAGAAAAAAAAAACACUGAAAAGAAAAAAAUAUUAAAAUCAUGCAUUAUUUUUAUAGCACUGAUUGUUAGUUAAAACAACAAGGUGGUUAAUCAUAAUGGCAUGCAGUUGUGUUCAAUAUUUGGAUCUGAACGGUCGGUACCCAACUUAACUCCUUUGCAAACAUAAAAUUUCCACACCA
rnacentral:lncRNA from 1 species